rnacentral:misc_RNA from 1 species
GAUGAAGAACGCAGCAAAAUGCGAUAAGUAAUGUGAAUUGCAGAAUUCAGUGAAUCAUCGAAUCUUUGAACGCACAUUGCGCCCGCUGGUAUUCCGGCGGGCAUGCCUGUUCGGGCGUCAUUUCAACCCUCAAGCCCCCGGGUUUGGUGUUGGGGAUCGGCUCUGCCCUUCUGGGCGGUGCCGCCCCCGAAAUACAUUGGCGGUCUCGCUGCAGCCUCCAUUGCGUAGUAGCUAACACCUCGCAACUGGAACGCGGCGCGGCCAUGCCGUAAAACCCCAACUUCUGAAUGUUGACCUCGGAUCAGGUAGGAAUACCCGCUGAACUUAAGCAUAUCAAUAAGCGGAGGA